GAUGAACGCUAGCGGCAGGCCUAAUACAUGCAAGUCGAGGGGCAGCACGGCAGCAAUGCUGGUGGCGACCGGCGCACGGGUGCGUAACGCGUAUGCAACCUACCUUUGACAGUGGGAUAGCCCCGAGAAAUCGGGAUUAAUACCGCAUAACAAUGCGAUCUGGCAUCAGAAUGCAUUUAAAACUCCGGUGGUCAAAGAUGGGCAUGCGUGACAUUAGCUGGUUGGUGAGGUAACGGCUCACCAAGGCUACGAUGUCUAGGGGUUCUGAGAGGAUGAUCCCCCACACUGGUACUGAGACACGGACCAGACUCCUACGGGAGGCAGCGCCAAGGCACACAGGGGAUAGGG
rnacentral:rRNA from 1 species